rnacentral:rRNA from 1 species
AGCAUAUCAAUAAGCGGAGGAAAAGAAACCAACAGGGAUUGCCUCAGUAACGGCGAGUGAAGCGGCAAAAGCUCAAAUUUGAAAUCCCCCCGGGGAGUUGUAAUUUGAAGAUUGCGUCUUGGAGGCGACCGUGUCUAUGUUCCUUGGAACAGGACGUCACAGAGGGUGAGAAUCCCGUGCGGCACGGCCCCCGGCUCCUUAUAAGGCGCUCUCGACGAGUCGAGUUGUUUGGGAAUGCAGCUCAAAGUGGGUGGUAAAUUCCAUCUAAAGCUAAAUACAGGCGAGAGACCGAUAGCGAACAAGUACAGUGAUGGAAAGAUGAAAAGCACUUUGAAAAGAGAGUGAAACAGCACGUGAAAUUGUUGAAAGGGAAGGGCAUGCCGUCAGAUUGUCAGUGUGGGUAAGAAGCGGGGUACAAAGACUGUGGAACGUGGCCCUCGGGUGUUAUAGCCGCAGUUCAUGCCCCGUCUCUUUCCGAGGCCUGCUUUGAGGACACCGACGUAAUGACGGUACGCCGCCCGUCUUGAAACACGGACCAAGGAGUCUAACGUCUAUGCGAGUGUGUGGGUGUCAAACCCAAACGCGUAAUGAAAGUGAACAGAUGAGUUUCAUCAUCGACCGAUCCUGAAGUGUUCGGAUGGAUUUGAGUAAGAGCAUAGCUGUUGGGACCCGAAAGAUGGUGAACUAUGCCUGAAUAGGGUGAAGCCAGAGGAAACUCUGGUGGAGGCUCGUAGCGGUUCUGACGUGCAAAUCGAUCGUCGAAUUUGGGUAUAGGGGCGAAAGACUAAUCGAACCAUCUAGUAGCUGGUUCCUGCCGA